GUUAUGGAGUGGGUCGCGCGAGACGCGCCAAAUGCUCCCUACUGUGGCACGUGCCAGGUGCUAUUGGCCUCUCUGGGCGCGAGCCUGGUCCGUUGACUAGAGGGAGGCGGCGCGUCAUCCAGCGUCAUCCAUCUCUCCUGCUCUGACUAGAUUCCCAGAGACCUCGGCCGUCGCUCAUUACUGCGACGCUAGAGCGACCCAUAACGACGAAAAACAGCCAUAUGGUGUCUCUCCUGGAAGUUUGUACCUGGUGCUGUUGCUGUUCAGGAGCAUGCUUCUUAAAUAAAACUGCAGUAAGCAAAACUGAUGGGCGGAUAAUGUUUGAAGCAAAUGGAGGAACUGAAACAUGAUAGCUGCAUUCGCACCCCUUCAGGCAGGUUCCCCAGGGAGCGUGCACUGUGUUACAGUCUUCCCCCAUCCACUCCACAGUUCUGAGAUGCACAGAGAUGAUAACACACUCUGUGCGUGAGAUCUUAAAUACCAGUCAGCUGUCUUGUGUGAAUCCCUGGAUGAGUAUUCAGCUCUCCGUCUGCCCUUUCCACGCUUGCUGCCUGCCUACCUGUCUACUCGCCGCCUCAUCUGUCCACAGCAGAAUAGAGCUGUGCCUUUAUCUGACAGCAGCGUCAAGGCCCCGAGACGACCAGGAGUGGACACGGCGAGUGUGGGCAAACGCACAGCAGCGACUUAAGACCGAAACCGAUCUGCUGAGACUGAGCACCAUGGGCUCCUCUUAAAUUGUAGAUAUAUUAAACCGUGUGUGUAUAUAUGUGUGUGCGAUUGCUUGAGCUGUUGGUGCAAGCUGACAUACCUUAAAUCUGUGUGGUGAUGAAUGCAUGCAAUAUGUGUUUGUGCCAGAGGGGCUUUAUCAUCUUUCUUUGAAGGAAAAGUUCUGGAUGAUUCAUUAGAGUGAGACAGAGAGGGAGAAUUUGGAUGAGGG
rnacentral:lncRNA from 1 species